ACGACCUUACUUGAACAGGAUCUGUUCUAUAGGCUCGUACCUCUGUAUCCUUGAUUUCUAAGGAGACAUGUCUAUCCGGUUUGGCCUUGCCCUCUCCGGGGUGGUUGCACGGUUGUCUGACAGGCC
rnacentral:snoRNA from 2 species